AGUAGAGCAGGUUGGGUCCUUCAGCCACAGGCAUUUAAUGCGUUCUCCCUCUAAUCAGCACUGUUUUGGUCACGGCGGAUACAAGGUCCCUGCUCUCGUGAGGCUUACAUGUUCGGGGACAAGCUGAUCCGCCAGGUAUAGCAGAAUAAUGUGACUGUGAGUGGCUACGUGCCUAGUUCGUACAGAGAGGUCAGGGAGGGAGACGUGGGUGCUUGCGUUGAAGUCUGAAUGACAGAUAAGAAGGACCCUGGGGAAAGGAGGAGGAAAAGGAGUCUCCCAGGUAGGGGGAUCAGCUAGGGCACGGGGCCCAGGUCAGGAUUUAGCAUAGGCACCAAUGAGUACGAAAGAGAGCGCACAUGCAAAUACCGAGUACAGUCUGCAAGUAGUGUGAGAUACCACCAGAGCCACGAGCAAAGGCCUUUGUCAGCCAAGGCCAGCCCUUGGUGUAGACCGCGGCCGCAGAGGAGCUGCCCCACUGACUGGUCUGCAGAUGGGAUGCAGUGGCAAAAUGCACGAAGGGCGCCCGCAGGGAGGCCUGAGCGUGGUCUAGGUGAGAACCAUGAAGUCUCACAGGGCAGCAGCGGCAGAGAAAUCAUGGAUGGAUUGGGGAUAUGGCUGGAUAAAUCAUGGACAGGGAGACAGAAGGUCAUGAUCUCACAGUUCGUAGGUUCGAGCCCCGCAUUGGACUCCUGGCUGACAGCAUGCAGCUUGCUUGGGACUCUCUCUCUCUGCCUCCGCCCCUGCCCCUCUCAUGCUGUCUCUCUCUCUCAACAUAAAUAAAGGUUAAAAAACAUUA